GAGAGCAUCUCUUGGAUCUAGGCUGCUUGCUGAGAGGGAGUGCUGCACAGCUAGGGAGCCCCUUCACCAUUUAGAUCUCGUCUGCAACAAAUGCCAGCCGACAAAUUCCACAUUCUGCACUUGGGAUGCAUGUGGCAAGAUGGGGGGACUGUGAGAAGAGGAGAUUUUCUCUUCAGUGGCAUUAAUUACAGGCUUAUCUUCUCUCAUUCUGCAUGCUGCGUGUGGAGAUGAAGGCAUCAUCCAGUUUCCAUGACGCAGGUGUUGGAUGGCAGUGAGGGAUGGCAGCAAGUCAGUAUAUUUUACUGCAGGAAGGAUCAGGAGAAAGAAGAAGGAUGGAUACAGAAAUGCCUAGGUGAAAUACAAACCAAGCCCAGCAUUUUUAACAGCCACAGCAAGAAUUUCUCCAUUUUGGACUUGCAUACAAGUAAUUGGCCUUUUCUUUUGACCAAUUCAUAGUGGUUAUUCAAUUUUUGGUACAUCUUGCUCUUCUUCGUGUAUUUAUUAGUGCUUUGUCUCUGUUCCAUUUCCCCAUCUUUUUAGAGAAAAAAGCCAACUUUAUGUAAUUUCUAUACAACCUCGCUCAGCCUCAUUUUUCUCUAUGACUUUUCCCCCUAAUUUCAAGUCCCUAUUAUUUUCUGUAAUACUGUAAUACGAUCUUCAUGGUUCUUGUAAG